AACGCACAUUGCGCCCUUUGGUAUUCCGAGGGGCAUGCCUGUUCGAGCGUCAUUUCAAACCUCAAGUUCUGCUUGGUAUUGGGUCCGGUUCCCUUCGGGCGGCCGACCUGAAAGUCAGCGGCGAGGCUGUCUAGCUUCAGGCGUAGUAGAACCUUUCGUCUCGCCUUGCGAGUUGAGGCUGCGCUCGCCGGAUAACCUUCAUCCAAAAGGUUGACCUCGGAUCAGGUAGGGAUACCCGCUGAACUUAA
rnacentral:misc_RNA from 1 species